UGGGAACCAGACCGAGUAGUUUCCCCACUGGGUGUGGUGUAUAAAAUAGAGAAGCACAGCCUCCACAGUGUUUGUUGUGCAGCUCGUCCUUGGAAUGAGCCUUUGCUUUUCUUCUGCAAGAAAAAACCCCAAAGCCAUGAAUCAGGUCCAAAUUGAAUACUGUGCGGGAUGAGGUUACUCGUCCCGCUACAGGCAGCUGGAAGGAGCCCUCCGGCAGGUCCCUGGUGUGUCGGUGACGGGAUUCAAGGGGAGACCAAACAGUUUUGAGGUUGUACUGAACGGGCAGACGAUCUACUCCAAGCUGAAAACACACUCAUUUCCUGAGAGUGCACAGGUGGUAGCGAUGGUGAAGAAGAUUAUCCAGGAAAAGAAGAAGUAAAGCCUCAGAGGAUCCAAUAAGAUCUGUAUUCACACUGCAAGAGAACAACAGGGUUUGUCUUCUGUGGUUCAGAGCUCAAGAAGAUGAGCCCAUGGGUUCUCUUCAUGGUGAAUACAGACACAGACCAGGAGAUGAUGGGAGCCACACUGAGGAGCCGGGAACUGACUUCUGUUUAUGACUGUACACACUGAAAACACGUGGUGUGUACAUGAUGCAGGGCCAGAAGCUUUUCAGUCGACAGGAGCCUGAGGAUGUGCUCUCAUCGUGUCUGUCUCUACUCACACGUAACAUUUCUUUAGCUGUCUCAAUCAAACACACUUAUUCCAUCAUCCAUUUUGUUCUGUUCAUAUAAAUCUAAAGUAUCCGAGCUGAGGAUCCGAUUAAAAGAAAAGUUUAACAUUUUUAGAAAAAUUUGAUUUUGCCUUCUCGUCGCAACAUGAGAAGAUUGAUUCCACUGUCAUUUCUUGAAUUUAAAGCCCAUGUUUACAUCCAGUUAUCUAAAGCUCACAAACAUGUUACAUCCUAUUUUUGUAAAUGAAAAUUUGCCAUUUCAGUGGGGGCAUUUCUUGACUACCAUGGAUUAAAUAAACAAGAUACAACAUGUUAUUUAGCAUGGACAAAGUCAGGGUAGCUGUUUCCCUUUGUUUCCAGUCUUUAUGCUAAGCUAAGCUAAACAGUCUCUGACUCUACAUUGUAUUUAUUUCACAUGACAGCGGAAGAAAGAAAAGAGUAUUCAAGAACAUUUUUCAAAAACUUUAAUACGUGUUAUGUUGCAAACAGGAAAUGCUCUUCAAAUUUCAGAUUCUAUAAUUAUUUGGCAUUUUUCAUAACACCUUGAAUCACUUAGACCGAUCAUCUGUGGACGUCUUUUUUCCUCAGGAAGUUUUCACCUUCAUGUACCUUGCAUAUUUUCCUUUGAUGAGACAGCUACUGCAAAUGUUCUGCCUUCUCUGUUACUGAUAAAUAUUUAAUCAAUGACAAAUGAUGAAUCUAACAAAUAUACUUGUAAUUUCAAACACUGUGAUGCUGGAACUUAGGCGGAACUGGAACUGUUGAGCAAAAAAUUCGCUCGACAAUUCUAGGCUCUACAAUGUAAUACAAUAUAAAACUUGUUGCAAAAAUAGCAUAUGUCAUCUGGGCAACAGAUGGGCUGCACCAAAAUGCACCGCAUAUUCUAAAUGGAAGAUAUUAAUUAAAAUAAUCCAAAUUUAGCAAAAAGGAUUUUACUAUUUCACUUUAAAAUGUUACUUUAGUUAAAGAAAAUAUUUCUUUAGUUAACUUUAUCCUCAACAACUCUACUUCCAGCAUCCUUGAAACAUAUCACAUAUCAAACAGUUUCUAAACAAUAAAUCAUCACUUUCAACAACAAUUCAUUAAAUUUUCAACAAAUGCAUAAAAUACUGUGGAUUCA